rnacentral:misc_RNA from 1 species
GUAGGUGAACCUGCGGAAGGAUCAUUAACACGUAUCCACGUAUCAACCCCUCUGUGAAAACGCAAAAGCAGCAAGGUCUGGUCUUAGUGCGUCUGUCUGCUAUGGGUCCUAAUGAUGGGUGACUCUCUCUCUCUCUCUCUCUCGGGAGAGGGGGGAACAGAGAGUCACAGGGCUCGGACGGCGUGUGUUUGACGAUCAACCGAUACUUUUCCAUUGUUGGCCUUUACCCAACUUUUUAACCCCUUUGUAC